CUACGGGCGGCAGCAGGCGAGAAAACUUUGCAAUGUGCGAAAGCACGACAAGGUUAAUCCGAGUGGUUUGUGCUAAACGAACCUUUUGACAGUCCUAGAAACACUGUUGAAUAAGGGGUGGGCAAGUUCUGGUGUCAGCCGCCGCGGUAAAACCAGCACCUCAAGUGGUCAGGAUGAUUAUUGGGCCUAAAGCAUCCGUAGCCGGCUCUGUAAGUUUUCGGUUAAAUCUGUACGCUCAACGUACAGGCUGCCGGGAAUACUGCAGAGCUAGGGAGUGGGAGAGGUAGACGGUACUCGGUAGGAAGGGGUAAAAUCCUUUGAUCUAUUGAUGACCACCUGUGGCGAAGGCGGUCUACCGGAACACGUCCGACGGUGAGGGAUGAAAGCUGGGGAGCAAACCGGAUUAGAUACCCUCGUAGUC
rnacentral:rRNA from 1 species